rnacentral:rRNA from 1 species
UCGGGAAUAUUGGACAAUGGGGGCAACCCUGAUCCAGCAAUACCGCGUGUGUGAAGAAGGCCUGCGGGUUGUAAAGCACUUUUAGUAGGGAAGAUAAUGACGUUACCUACAGAAAAAGCACCGGCUAACUCCGUGCCAGCAGCCGCGGUAAUACGGAGGGUGCAAGCGUUAAUCGGAAUUACUGGGCGUAAAGCGUGCGUAGGCGGCUCUUUAAGUCGGAUGUGAAAUCCCCGGGCUCAACCUGGGAACU